GGCCUGAGAGAGAAAAAGGUGAGAGAUAUUUAUAAUGGUAAGAGAGAGAAAUAGAAGAGAGAGAAAAAGGUGAGAGAGGUAGUUAUGAUAAUGUUAUAAUGGUGAGAGAGAGAAAUAGGAGAGAGAGAAAGAAGUGUGAGGAAUAGCAGUGGAGAGAGAAGAAAAAUAUGUGAAAUUAAUGUCGUUGCAAGCUACUUAACGGAAGGGACCUAUUGAAAGCAAAAUCAAUAACUUGGGACCUAAUUAAAUCACUUUUAAAAGAGGGUAUCAAACGGAAAUUCAGCCCAUAACUUGGGGACUAAAAAGGUAAUUAAGCCUUGAUUAUUUAAACUCUUAAGUUUAUUAGUCAUUCAUUCAACAAUCUUAACACAUUAGGCUAUUUAUAUAAUGGAUUAGACUAUCCUUUCAGUUUUGAUCGAUUAUCAAACUUAUGUAAUUGAUUAUUUCAACACUCAACAUAUUAGUCAUUCAUUUGUCAUCCUUAACAGAUUAUAUAAAAGAUUAUGGCUUUCUUUCUGUUUUAAUCAGUUAUGUACCCUAUAUAAUCGGUUAUAACAGAACAGUUUUCUCUUGUUAGUUUUCUAAGUGAUCUGGCUAAACCUAAUAGAUUAUAUACUUUAUUUAAUCGAUUAUUUAUACCAGAAACGAGAUUGUUUUAUCUGUUAUAAACUUGAAACAUUCAAUAUUAAUGGAUUCUAUCAUUUAACACACAGAUGUUAAAGAUAUAAAAAAUUGUUAUGCCAUUUUAUUGUGCAAGAAAUCAUUAUUAAUCUUUGGCUUAAAUACCUAUUUAGUCUCCAAGUUUGGGGCUGAAUUUCCGUUUGAUACCCGGUUUUAAAAGUGAUUUAAUUAGGUUUCCAGGUUUUUGAUUUUGCUUGCAAUAGGUCCCUUCCGUUAAGAAGCUUGUAACGGCGUUAAUUUUUCUUUUCUCUCCUCUGUUAUUCCUGACAUAUCUUUCUCUCUUUCCAAUUUCUCUUCUCUCUCUCACCAUUACAACAUAAUUAUAACUACCUCUCUCUCUCUCACCUUUUUCUCUCUCUUCUAUUUUCAUCACUCUUCAUUAUAACUAUCUCUCACCUUUUUCUCUCCCACUUUUUUCAUCUCUUCACUGUUUCACUUCUCUCUCUCUUCUUCUUCUUCUUUCGUUCCUUUUCUUUCUCAAACUGUUCAGUAGUGUACAUAAAAGUUGUGGAAAAAUAUAAUAUAAAAAGCUUCA
rnacentral:lncRNA from 1 species